rnacentral:rRNA from 1 species
AUUGAACGCUGGCGGCAGGCCUAACACAUGCAAGUCGAGCGAGCGGCGGACGGGUGAGUAAUGUAUGGGGACUGCCCGAUAGAGCGGGAUAACUACUGGAAACGGUGGCUAAUACCGCAUACUAUCGGAUAACCCAUAUGGGAUUAGGUAGUGGGGGGGGUAAAGGCACACAUAGGCGACGAUCUCUAGCUGGUCUGAGAGGAUGAUCAGCCACACUGGUACUGAGACACGGCCCAGACUCCGACGGAGGCAGCAGUGGGGAAUAUUGCGCAAUGGGCGAAAGCCUGAGGCAGCCAGGCCGCGUGUAUGAAGAAGGCCUUAGGGUUGUAAAGUACUGUCAGCGGGGAGGCGUUACCCACAGAAGAAGCACCGGCUAACUCCGUGCCAGCAGCCGCGGUAAUAC